rnacentral:rRNA from 1 species
GCUUACGGCCAUACCAACCUGGCUAUCGCCCGAUCUCGUCUGAUCUCGGAAGCUAAGCAGGUUUGGGCCUGGUUAGUACUUGGAUGGGAGACCGCCUGGGAAUACCAGGUGCUGUAAGCA